rnacentral:tRNA from 1 species
UCUCCUAUAGCUCAGUUGGUAGAGCGUGCGGCUGUUAACCGUGUUUGAAAACCACGCUUGCUGUUUUUGCUGGUUCUAUCUGCUAGAAGCA